CACGUAGGGGGCGAGCGUUGUCCGGAUUUAUUGGGCGUAAAGAGCUCGUAGGCGGCUCAGUAAGUCAGGUGUGAAAACUCCAGGCUCAACCUGGAGACGCCACCUGAUACUGCUGUGGCUAGAGUCCGGUAGGGGAGCAUGGAAUUCCUGGUGUAGCGGUGAAAUGCGCAGAUAUCAGGAAGAACACCCGUGGCGAAGGCGGCAUCCUGGACCGGCAUUGACGCUGAGGCGCGAAAGCUAGGGGAGCAAACGGG
rnacentral:rRNA from 1 species